UCCAGACUCCUACGGGAGGCAGCAGUGGGGGAUAUUGCACAAUGGGGGGAACCCUGAUGCAGCGACGCCGCGUGGGUGAAGGAGCGUUUCGGCGCGUAAAGCCCUAUCGGCAGGGAAGAAGGAGGACGGUACCUGACUAAGAAGCCCCGGCUAACUACGUGCCAGCAGCCGCGGUAAUACGUAGGGGGCAAGCGUUAUCCGGAUUUACUGGGUGUAAAGGGGGCGCAGACGGCAGCGCAAGCCAGGAGUGAAAGCCCGGGGCCCAACCCCGGGACUGCUCUUGGAACUGCGCGGCUGGAGUGCAGGAGGGGCAGGCGGAAUUCCUGGUGUAGCGGUGAAAUGCGUAGAUAUCAAGAGGGACACCGGUGGCGAAGGCGGCCUGCUGGACUGCGACUGACGUUGAGGCCCGAAAGCGUGGGGAGCAAACAGGAUUAGAUACCCGCGUAA
rnacentral:rRNA from 1 species